GAAAUGCGAUAAGUAGUGUGAAUUGCAGAAUUCAGUGAAUCAUCGAAUCUUUGAACGCACAUUGCGCCCCUUGGUAUUCCAUGGGGCAUGCCUGUUCGAGCGUCAUCUACACCCUCAAGCUCUGCUUGGUGUUGGGCGUCUUUGUCCCGCCUCCGCGCGCGGACUCGCCCCAAAUUCAUUGGCAGCGGUCCUUGCCUCCUCUCGCGCAGCACAUUGCGCUUCUCGAGGUGUUGCGGCCCGCGUCCAGAAAGCAAUCGUUACCGUCUUUGACCUCGGAUCAGGUAGGGAUACCCGCUGAACUUAAGA
rnacentral:misc_RNA from 1 species